rnacentral:rRNA from 1 species
UACGAAGGGGGCUAGCGUUGCUCGGAAUGACUGGGCGUAAAGGGCGCGUAGGCGGAUGGCACAGUCAGAUGUGAAAUUCCCGGGCUUAACCUGGGGGCUGCAUUUGAUACGUGUUGUCUUGAGUUCGGAAGAGGAGUGUGGAAUUCCCGGUGUAGCGGUGAAAUGCGCAGAUAUCGGGAAGAACACCCGUGGCGAAGGCGGCACUCUGGGACGGUACUGACGCUGAGACGCGAAAGCGUGGGGAGCGAACAGG